rnacentral:lncRNA from 1 species
AAGGUGGUGGCCGCCACCUUUUUCCGCCGUUUCGCCACUGCUAGCCACCAUCUCCGAUGGCUGUGGGCUUUCGGGUGCAUUUGGAUUGAUGUUUGGAGUGAUUUUGGUUUUUUUUGGCUGAAAAUCAUAACGAUCACUACCACGAGGUGGUGACCUCCGUCGUGAGCCACCGUUGGCCACCACUACCCGAGGUGGUAGUGGGUGGUGCCCGACUUAUUUAACACAAAUUGACCUAAAAACAUAACAAAUGGACUAAUUGGCAUGCUAUUUGGUUGGCAACCCUAAUUAGGGUUUAGAAAUCCUAAUUUUUAAAAUGUGAGUUUUGGAUUUUUCAGGACCCACGUUUGGAUUGUUGGAUUUGGAAUUUUGAAUUACGCCCGACCACAUUGUAUGUUUGAUCUAGUGGAGUGAUGGAAUUAAUGGAUUACGUCCUUAAUGGGUUAAGUAAGAAAACUUAACCCUAACCGCCAAUUUAUGUGAAAAAACCUAAUUAGGUUUGUGUUCUUGUUGGGACAUUUCUUGGACUAAGUUGUUGUGGGCCUUCGUUGGCCAAUUGGGAACAUGUUUAUGGACUAAGGAAAUUAUUGGGCUUUAGGAUAAGGCCCAUUGGAAAGGCUUGGGCCCAAUUUGGAAAACUAGGCCAUAGGUGGGCCAUAAACGGGCCUUGAUGAUUAUGAGAUGUUGGACCAUUGAAAUGCCAAGUGUUUGGACUAGAAUAAAUGUUUGGGCCUUAAGGUAAGACCAUGUAGAGGUUUGGGCCCAAUUUGGAAAAUUGGGCCAUAUGUUGGGCCUUGGUUGAUUAUUUGGCUUUUGGGCCUUCAGAGUGUGAUUUUGAGCCUUGGUUUUGGACCAAACUAGGUUAAGGGUAAAGUAGUCUCUUUACCCCAAGUAUGGAGUUAUGGUUAUGCAUUGAAAUCUAAAUGGUUAAUUGGGUGUUGUUUUGAUGUUGACAGUUUGAGAAUCUGUCAUCCAACAGCUUAUCCUCCAGACUUCAACAGUGUGAGGCGAGUCUCCUCACCAUACCAUUGGGUCAAAGGCACCAAGGCCAGCCUAUUUAUCUAGUCAUGAUGAUUAUUGCGGAUAUGCAAUCGAUACAUUAUGUAUUUAUGUGAAGACCAUGCGGGGGGUUCCAAUGGCAAUUACUUAUAUGUGGUAUGCUAGUUGAUUAUGUGGUAUUUGGUAUGAUAGUUGUCUUUGUGAUACUUGCAUGGAAGACCUCGAGGGGUUCCCGAGGCAGUUGGACAUAAGACCAUGUCGGGGUUCCCAUGACAUUCCAGGCUAAGACCAUGUGGGGGUUCCUAUGGUAGUGGGGUAAGACUAUGUGGGGGUUCCCAUGGCACCCGAUGUAAGACCUUGUUAUGUUUGACUCGUUUGGGAUGCUUGGACAAAAUGGGCCCAAAGAAACUCUAGUAGGCCCAAAGAAACCCUAAUGGGCCCAAUGAAUCCCAAAUUGACCUAAAAGCCCAAACCAAUUGACUGAUGGGCUAGUAUUAGGUUGGAAACCUUAAUUAGGGUUUGGAAACCCUAAUGCCAUGGAACCCUAAUUUUAGGAUUUAUCGAGAUUGCAUGGGAAUUAUUUAAUAAACUUAAAAUAUUGACUAAUAAUCAUUGGCAAAUUAAAUUAAGGCAAUAUUCGACUUAAUGGAUUAAGUCCUUAAUCGAUUGAGUCCUUAAUGGGUUAAGUAGGAACACUUAACCCUAAUGGUCAUUCCAUGUGAAAACCCUAAUUUCACUUGGGCCUUAAGUUGGGCCUCUCUAUUGGACUUGGUGAUUGGACUAUUGAUGGGCUAUCCAAUAACAAGUAAAUGGACCAAAAAUAUUUAGAUGGGCUUGAGGAUAAGGCCCAUGUGAGAGGCUUGGGCCCAAUUUGGAAAAUUGGGCCAUAAAUGGGCCUUUAUGAUUAUGUGAUAUUGAACCAUGGGAAUACCAUGAGUUUGGACUAGAAUAAUUGGAUGGGCCUUAAGGAAAGACCAUGUAGAGGUCUGGGCCCAAUUUGGAAAAUUGCGCCAUAUAUUGGGCUUUAGCCCAUUACUUGACUUUUAGGCCUUUGGAGUGUGAGUUGGAAUAUGGGCUUCGAACCCAAUUAUUAAUUGGGUAUUGUUUGAUGUUGACAGUUCGGGAAUCUGUCAACCAGCAGCUGGAGUUUUAUCUGUGGGACUUCAGCAGUGCCAAGUGAGUUCUCAUCACUAUAUCAACAGGGUCUACGACACCAAGGUCGACCCUUUAUGAUUUCAUCCUGGUUUGGGAUGGUUGCUAUGUUAGAUUACAUCCUGGUUUAGGAUAGUUGCUAUCAUAGAUUUCAUCUUGGUUUAGGAUGGUUGCUAUGUUAGAUUACAUCUUGGUUUAGGAUGGUUGUUAUGUUAGAUUUCAUCCUGGUUUUAGGAUGGUUGCUAUCUUAGAUUACAUCCUACUUUAGGAUGGUUGAUAUGCUAGUAAUCUAUUUAAUUAAUAUCCUGGUUGUAGGAUGGUUUCUAGGUUAGAGAUCAGUUAGAUCUGUAUGACAAUCUGUUAUUGUAUGUUAGCAUAUGAUAUUUAUGUGCACAUGUUUAUUGGUUUGGGGAAAGGGUUGAGUCAGGCCGAAGGCCCAUCGAGCAAUUCAAAUAGGCUGAAGACCCCGAGGAGGGCGGUCUAGAUGUGCCGAGGGCUCGGAGAGCGGUCCAGAUAGACUGAGGAUCGGGAUUUGGUCUAGUCAUACUGAUGGCUCAUUAUGCAUGUUGUUUGCUGAUAUGUCUAUAUGAUAUGGUUAUAUCUGUAUGGAGUUGGUAUUUUGGGGGUAACUCACUAAGCCUUCGAGCUUACAUUUAUCGAUUAUUGUUUCAGGUAUUUGGAUGAUCACGAGAAGGCGAAAGCGUGAUCAUGCACCUCCUUACCUUUUCAUGAUUAAUUAUGGGGAUACUCUGAUGUUUAAAUUAUUCUGAAAGUAAACUGUAAUAACUUAAUGGUUUUAAAUGUUUUAAAAAGUAAAUUGGCUUGAAUUUUAUGGGUGUUACAAGUUGGUAUUAGAGCCUUGGUUUGAGUGAACUGGAGGAAACACUCAUGUGUCUCCAGUCUCAAACUGAGGACAAGGUUAUAAAACGAUUAUCUUAAAGUGUUUUCAAAAUAAUAAAAGGAGGAUGCAAGUGUACGAUUAGUCGGAGCUUGCGGAUAGACCCCAAAAUACCUUACAAAUUAUUUGAGUUAUGAGAUAUGAUUAGAACAACAUGCUAGUACUAGGCUAGGGAUCUUAAGGAGUUCCAUGAUAGAAUUGCCUGAUUACAUGAUUCCUGAUAGGCUAGAGUUUUUCCUUAUAUGAAAUUGACAUCAUUACUGUAGUUGCUUAGUGUAUGCAUCACGACUGUACAGAAUUAAGAUCUUAUAGUCUGAGAAUGUUUAGUUUGGCCUUAUUUCCUUUUCUUGUUUGAUGAAGGGCUUAGGGUAGGAUCAGUUAUUCGAAAGUCUAUAGGGUCCAGCGUUAUGUAUGGUUAGCAAGGUCGGCUCAACGAGUUUGGAGGCUCUAAGAGAACCAAAAAUUUGGGGCCCUUUGACAUUUAUUAUACUUAAUGUUAAUCAUUCAUAUGUAGUCUGCCAAUGUCAAAAUUCCAGGCUGCACUCCAAUGGAUUAAUAACUUACAAGAUUGACUCGGUAGUCGGUAAAUCCUAAUAUCCUUUGUAUCGGUUCUUCAAUUCUAUAAUAGUAUGACAGUUCAUUGCAACUUGAAAAAUUCAAAAAUUUGUGGUUGUGUAAACUGUAAUGUCCAUUGUCAAAAGAUUAACCCUAAUUAAUCGGCUAUUAACCCUAAUUAGAUAAUCGGAGAUAAUAGAAAAAUCAAAACUAAAAAGUGAAAAUGAAUUUUACCGUUUCUGCGUUUUAGUGAGAGCAGACGAGAAUUGAGAAAUUGAGAAGAAUAGCUACAGAUCGCCACUCGCUAGAUCAUCAACAGAAACCAAGAAGUGCAGAAGGCGAGAAUGAAGAUUGAAGAAGCAAGAAGAAAUGAAGACAACAGCGAUCGCUUGCUUGAUUGCUUGAACCCUUGAAUCGAUUAGAGAAGGGAGGAAAAGAAUAGAAGUUUAAUCGUCAUGUGAGUGUGACGUGUGUAUUGAUUCGAUCUUGCUGCGUGAUUUUUUUGGAAACAAGAAGCUUAGAUUGAAAUUAAACGGGGCCCCUUAGAAUUGGGGGCCCUAAGCCCUAUCUUAACUCAUUAAACUAUAAGUUCGGGCUUGAUGGUUAGCAUACACGAGUGCUGCAGGGUUGGUGGAAGUUUCAUGGGUGGGUUGUGAGAGGUCGGGAGGCCAGUUGUGAGAUAUUUAGCAUUCCUCUAGGAGUGAGGAUUGAGCGCUCGCUCUAUUUAUGUGUAUUGCUAGGGUGUUGUGGUGAUACUUGAGACAAAUAUGGGUAGGUGUGGAAGGUAGUAUGGGCCCGUACUACUGAAAGCACAUGACCCAUACGCGUAGCAAGGAAGCCACAACCCCUGGGGUUUAGUUGGAAGUUGGUUCCCUAUUAUGGUAUGGAUUAUUCGAGACGUUUUAUGACCAGAUCCGGAUCAGGAUCAAGAGCUGGCAGCCAGGAUAGGCCAGUAUUGUCAGAGGAAUCAUCUGGGAGGAGGUGAUCACGAUCGUUCGGGGACAGGUUCCGGAGAUGAUUGGAUCUUUCUAUACCGCUAUGGUUGAGCAUUCGAUGAGUGCUAUGCAGCCCUUACGGCUGCCGUAGCAACUGCAACAACUGAAACGACGGCAGGGGGAGGAGCUGGUCGAGCUUUCCAAUAUCGGGAAUUGUUACUGGGACAUAGUCUGAUGAGUAGAGGACUGCAAUUACUUGAGACCAGGGAGAUAUUCUGUACUCGUUGCGUUUCGCGGGUUGAGCGGAAGAGGCUAGCACAUGAGUUUCUCGAUUUGAGGCUUCAGGGUUUUGCUCGAGGCCUGAAUGUGAGUCGUGGGGACUCCGGAAAGGAGUGAUGAUUAUGAUCAGCUGAAGUUUUGCAACUGGAAGUAGAAUGGUUAAUUGAUGGGUUGAAAUGUCGUUUUCUAGGACCAAGAUUGUGCCCUUUCAGUUUUCAUGCUCAAAGGAGUGAGCAGGCUUGUGACCCCAGGAUCAGGUUGUAUUCCAGCUCGAGGUCAAUUAGUCGCCAGGGUUGGCGACAUCAUUUCAUCAUUGUUGAGUACAGGUGGGUUGAUACGUCAUUAGUAUCUUGUGAGGCAUACGUGAUUACCGUCCCGACCCAUGGGAGCUUAGAUUCGAUUCUCCUUGGAUCUCUUGUAUCAGGAGGUAAGGAUUGAUUGUGUAACCUAUUGCACUUUUGGGAUUAUAGACUAUGUCUUGGGAGUAGUUGUACCCAGGGUUAGGGCAGAGGUUGCUUCAGUUACUACAGUUCAGUUGUGGACGAUUGAGCUGGUGAGUGAGUCAGGGUGCGAACCCUGAAUGAAAUGAUUUCUAGAGCCCGAGAGCGAGAGACUUGUUUGGAGCAUCUUGGCAGGAAGGGUAUUAUGUGGGAGGUCCGCGCGCAGAGUCCCACAGGAUGGUUAUUCAACAUUGUCAGGAUUCAGUGGUUUUAGUAACAGUUAUUGAUUAGCGGAUGAAAGCACCAAGGGAAGUAGCUCGUGGCUGAGGUAUUAGUUGGAGUAUCUAUCUUUUGGUCUUCAAGAAUUGGAUGCGGGAUCAUUUAAGCAUUAGGGAUUGUUGGUUUCACUGGGAUUCAGGAAGUGUUCAUCUGGUUCUUAAAAGUGUGUGAUCAUAUGGGAUUGGCUAGAAAUGGAGCACUAGUUGGUAAGAGUUGGUUGUUAUCGGAUCAAUUGUUGGAAAGGGAGAAAGAUUGGGAAUUCUCCAAUUUUCAUGUAUUAUGAAGACUUAGUCGUAUUUAAGUGGGGGAGAAUCGUCACAGGAUUCGAAAGCGAGAGUCGUUUCGAAACUGGGAUAAGUUUCGCGUCUUUUUCAGGAAGAAUGGUUGCCCAAGUGGUUGUUUGGUUUGAGGGUUUUCUGAGUUGGGAGUUCGGUAAAACUCCCCAGCAUGUGUAUCGCAUCUUCUCGGUGCUUAAUAGUAGAAUUUGGGGAAUUAGUUUGGGGUUCUGUCAUGAAUUGAGUCCAGUUCGGGGGUUCGGUGUGCUCGACUCUGAGGGUUUUUGAAUUGAUAGAUUGAGGGUUUUGUUCCAGGGCUCGGCAGUACAUUCAGCACGGAUGUGCGGGUUAUUUAGCGUAGGUGGUAGAUACGCGAAUCAGGGAUCAGACCACGGUUUCCCGAGAGAGUGAGCGAUCAACAUGAGGUCUAGAGUUAGGCCGAGAUUAUAGUCCUCAAAUUGGAUCAGGAGUUCGGAACCCCAAGUGGGGGAGAACUGGCUAUAUGGGAAAGGGCACCAGGAUGGGUCUAGGUUUAUGCACAACAGACUUAGAGCGGUCCGGAUAGACUGAAGACCAGCGGGGAGUACAGGCCGAAGACUUGGGGAACGGUCUAGACAGGCUGAAGGCUCGGAGAGGCGGUCCAAACAUGUUGAAGGUUCUGAGAGUGGUCCAGAUAGGCUGAAGGCCCGGUGAGGCGGUCCAGUCAUGUUGAAGACUCUGUAUGUAAUCCAUUAGGUCUAGCAGUCAGAUAGUAAAGGAAGUGUUGUGAGACUACGGGAGGACCUGUAGCAUUCACAAAUUGUUUUAAACGAAUUGGGUCAGGGUGGGCCAGUUCGCAAGAUUGUGGGUAGACCACAACACAAUCGGAAUCAAGAAACCGUAGGUCGUUGGAGACCGGAAAUGAUGUAAGACUACAGUAUUCUGGUAGCAUUCACUUUUUGUAUUUGGUUCGAUGGUGACAGAUUGUCAGACUAUUAUGGUCGGAUGGACUAGAAGGAUUGAUGGAGCCAUGAGUGACGAUAUAGCUAUGGCAGUUAUUGGUAGUCAAAGUUUAUUUCGGGAAUCGCGUGGAGCGACUGUAAGAUCGCUCGUUGGUUCAGCAACUGGGCAGGAAUCCGACAAUCCGGAUGAGUUUCCUAUCAAGUAUAAGUAUAUUGCAGGGAACUUUGUUUUAUGGCUCGGUCUUCAAGUAGGAACCUCGGGUUAUCAAAAAUUGAGUAGCCAGUUAGGAGAUAAGUGAAGGAAUUCGUUUAUCUUCAAGUUUCAGAACCCUGCAAGGGUUGGUAACGGUUGCCUUGGAAAGGCUAGGAUAUGCUUGUAGUUGUGGCCAUGAAGUUCAAGUUGUCGGGCGUGUAAGGAAUGAUAAGAAACGAUUUCGAGGACGAAAUUAAAUUUAAGUGGGGGAGAGUUAUAACAUCCCGUUUAAGAUAAAAUAAUUAAAUAAUAAAUCUAGAACCCUAAAAUGUAAUUUUAUUAUUAUUUUAUAGCCAAAAUCAAAUAAUUAUUAGUGGGGUGUUGGUUUCGGGGAGCCAAAUGUCAUGAUUUAGAGUUUCGUGGGUUUAAAGUAUAAUUUCGGGAUUUAUUUUGGAAAGGAUUUCAAAAUUCGGGUGUGUUUGGUAAUUAAUGGACUUAAAUUGAAAGGAAUUGAAGGCUUAGGGGGCUGAUUGGUAAUUUCGGGACUUGAAUUGUAAGGAAUUUCUAAAGGAGGGGUUAAAUGGUAUGUAUUGAAUUUAUUUUGAAAGAAGUACGGGACGGAGGGGCCAUUUUGGUCAUUAUGGGAUACAUUCAUAUGGGUAGGGGUAUUUAAUUGUGCUAUUCCCGUCACCCACUAACCCUAACCCUAAACAUGUCCAACCGCCACCACCUUAUACCCCCCUUCGUCUCCGGCGCCGUCAUCACCCAAACUCCACCUUGUUCUGAUCAGCGGCGGCCUUAAGCUACCACAGGAAGGUCGCCUUCUUCUCCUCCUCUUUCUCCAGCCGCUUGGUCGAGAUCUAUUGCCACCGGUAGCGCCGUUGUGUCGCCUUUCUACCAUCAAAACACCAUCGGGAUGCGCCGCCGCCCUUCCUAUCGUGGCUGUUGGACCGGAACCGAAAGAAGUCGUCGAUGUCAUCAGUCGUCGCCGAUUCUGUUACUGAUGUGACCGCCGGAAACCCCGUCGCCACCGCUGUUGUGCUGCCAAUCGUUUUCCAUCCCUCCGCCUCCAUUCCUCAGCGGCUAGUCACCGCUGCUUCCGCCAUGCUCGCUGUCGUUUCUUCUCCGACUAUCGCCAUUAACCUCCUUAAAGACCGAUGAAGAGCUACUCGGUGGGUGUUUUGCGCGUGUGUGUGUGCGUGCUUCUGUAUGUGUCAGCGUGUGGGUGUGUUUAUGGGCUGCUCGGAAAACGUUGGGAGCCACCAUGGCAGCCAACCAUGGUGGCUAUGGGCCGGUUGCUGCUUUUAUGCCACCGUCUACCACCACCAGCCACCACAAGGGUGGCUAUGUGUGUACGUUUAUUUAGUGUGUGUGUGUGUGUUAAUCGAGUAUUUCAUUGUAAAAUUUGUAACCGGAUUGAAAUAAUGAAAAAGAAAACUCUAAACCACCACCGUAAGGUAGUGGCUGGCACCACCAGCCGUCGUGUNNNNNNNNNNCACCACCAGUCGUCGUGUUGGGUGGUUGUGUGCUUUGCCUUGUUGUGUUUGACUUGUUGUGUUUGAUUCGUUUGAGAUGCUUGGACAAAAUGGUCCCAAAGAAACCCUAGUGGGCCCAAAGAAACCCUAAUUAGCCUAAUGAAGCCUAAAUUGACCUAAAAGCCCAAACCAAAUGACUAAUGGGCUAGUAUUGGGCUGGAAAC